ACGUAAUAGAUACCCAGGUAGUCCACGCCCUAAACGAUGUCUACUAGUUGUUGGUGGAGUAAAAUCCAUGAGUAAACGCAGCUAAACGCGUGAAGUAGACCGCCUGGGGAGUACGGUCGCAAGAUUAAAACUCAAAUGAAUUGACGGGGGGCCCGCACAAGCGGUGGAUUAUGUGGAUUAAUUCGAUGCAACGCGAAAACCUUACCUGGCCUUGACAUGUAGCGAACUUUCCAGAGAUGGAUUGGUGCCCGAAAGGGAGCGCUAACACAGGUGCUGCAUGGCUGUCGUCAGCUCGUGUCGUGAGAUGUUGGGUUAAAGUCCCGCAACGAGCGCAACCCUUGCCAUUAAUUGCCAUCAUUUAGUUGGGCACUUUAAUGGGACUGCCGGUGACAAACCGGAGGAAGGUGGGGAUGACGUCAAGUCCUCAUGGCCCUUAUGGCCAGGGCUUCACACGUAAUACAAUGGUCGGUACAGAGAGUUGCCAACCCGCAGGGGAGCCAAUCUCAGAAAGCCGAUCGUAGUCCGGAUUGUAGUCUGC
rnacentral:rRNA from 1 species